UCCGGCUUAUCACCGGCAGUUUCUUUAGAGUGCCCAACUAAAUGGUGGCAACUAAAGACGAGGGUUGCGCUCGUUGCGGGACUUAACCCAACAUCUCACGACACGAGCUGACGACAGCCAUGCAGCACCUGUGUGUAGGUCCCGUAAGGGAAGGAAUCCAUCUCUGGAAACCGUCCGGGCAUGUCAAGGGCUGGUAAGGUGGGGAUGACGUCCUUGCUAGGUA
rnacentral:misc_RNA from 1 species